rnacentral:rRNA from 1 species
AACGAACGCUGGCGGCAUGCCUUACACAUGCAAGUCGAACGAAGCCUUCGGGCUUAGUGGCGCACGGGUGCGUAACGCGUGGGAAUCUGCCCUUGGGUUCGGAAUAACAGUUAGAAAUGACUGCUAAUACCGGAUGAUGUCUUCGGACCAAAGAUUUAUCGCCCAAGGAUGAGCCCGCGUAGGAUUAGGUAGUUGGUGGGGUAAUGGCCCACCAAGCCGACGAUCCUUAGCUGGUCUGAGAGGAUGAUCAGCCACACUGGGACUGAGACACGGCCCAGACGCCUACGGGAGGCAGCAGGGGGGAAUAUUGGACAAUGGGCGAAAGCCUGAUCCAGCAAUGCCGCGUGAGUGAUGAAGGCCUUAGGGUUGUAAAGCUCUUUUACCAGGGAUGAUAAUGACAGUACCUGGAGAAUAAGCUCCGGCUAACUCCGUGCCAGCCGCCGCCGUAA